CCCACGAAAAAAGAUCAACUCAGACAGGCAGCUGCACUCACAGCAGGAGCGCUGAAUUUCAAGCAUUUAAUUGAAAGACAACUUCUCCAGCCUGAUGUCAGCGGAAAAACUCCCUUGGACAUGUCGCAAUACCAGCGCAUCUUCAGUGUUUAUCGCACGCCUUCCAUAGCCUGCGAUAAAAUGGAGUUCAAUACGC